GCUGUUAAGGGUUCGUAGUUGAACUGUGGGGUAAGAAACCGGGGUCACGCCCUUUGCCCCGGCUAAGGAAAGCCCCGAGCUUACUCCGAGAACAGCCAGAAACUAAGAUCACGGAAGUGUUUCCCGCCCCUCCGCGAGCAAUGCACGCAGGCGGGCGUCCGUGUUCAUUACUGUGGCUAAGAAGUGCGACCUAAGCAGUCCAUCGACAUGAAUUAGAAAGCAUGGGAUAACAAAGGGCAGCCUAUAGGCUAUUCGCUUUUGUUGGUUUUACAGGUCUGUGGGAGAUUAUGGGUGCGCUGACAAGCGGUUCGGGGUUCGUCCCCAASCCUCCGCGGUUGUUCGUCGGCUCCCAGUGGGUCGCGGCGCCGUGGCUUGUGUUCCAGGAAUGAAGGAGGGUUGUUCGGGGGAGAACGUCUUGAGCGUGAGAGGUGAAAUUCUAAGACCGCUCAAGGACGAACUACAGCGAAGGCAUUCUCCAGGAUACCUUCAUCAAUCAAGAACCAAAGUG
rnacentral:rRNA from 1 species